GUUUUUCAGCCGGCUGUUUCCAGUUUGGAGCUGUUACAAACAAAGCUGCUAUGAACAUUCAUAUACAAGUCUUUGGAUGGAUGGCUUUCUUUUCUCUUGAGUAAAACCUAGGAGCAGAAGUCUGAAUGAUAGGGAACAGAUUGCAUGUGCCACUCAGGAGUGGACUGGUCCAGGCAUUUGGGCAGUGUCCUCUGUGCUGCUUUGCUGACGGGAAGUCAAAGAGCCAGGAUGGAGCCAUUCACCAAGAAAGGGUUAUAUGUUUUACUUUUCUCUUCAAAGACGGGAUAAAGUUAUGUCUGUUGUUUUCAAGAAGUUAAAAAACAAAAUAAAACAAGAAAACACUUCAGACUUGAUAAGUGCUGAUUCAGUCUCCUGAAGAGAAAUUAUGAUAUAUCCAAGGAUGCCUGAAAGUUGUACACUUCUCAAGAGAUUAUUGUACAUGAUAUAACUUAAGAAGCUACAACUGAAAAGAGAAAAU